ensembl:snRNA U2 U2 spliceosomal RNA
UCUGUUGUAUGUAUUAUUUAAUAAAAAAAAAUCUGCUCUUGUCAGUUUAAUAUCUGAUAUGUCCUCCAAUGUGAGGACUACAUAUUAAACGGACUUUUAGCACUGGGAGCUGAAAGAGGGGCUUGCUCCUUUCACUCCACGCAUCGACCUGGCACUGCAGUGCCGCCAGGAACGGUGCACCCUUC